AGAGUACGUGAACCGUUCAGGGGUAAACCUGAGAAACCCAAAAGAUCGAAUGGGGAGAUUCAACGUAAACUCGGUCGAUUGCCGUGUGGUGCGCGAUAAUCGUAGCCUCGGUUGCGAAUACGCCAUCACUGCGGUUCAUCAUUGAUCGAGCGGGCGUGCACUUCUCCCCUAGUAGGACGUCGCGACCCGUUGGGUGUCGGCCUACGGCUUGCAAUGUCGCCUGUCGCUUGGACGUUUACGCGUCUCUCGCGGCAGACCUGCUUUUGCCCGGCCGACUGCCCGGCGGUAUUGAUAUCAUGACAGGUAUUUGGCCGCAUUUUUGUGCGUCCUGGCCCGUCGGCAGGCUCGCCUCGCCCGGUUUCACGGACCUAGCGCCGUUGCCGGGUGCUUGGUGUGGCUGUUAGUCGACGGUGUCCUCGGACUGGCUUUUACCGGUGGCGACGCUACUGCUU
rnacentral:rRNA from 1 species